rnacentral:rRNA from 1 species
ACGCUCGACACCUACGGGAAGCAGCAGUGGGGAAUAUUGCACAAUGGGGGAAACCCUGAUGCAGCGACGCCGCGUGAGCGAAGAAGUAUUUCGGUAUGUAAAGCUCUAUCAGCAGGGAAGAAACUGACGGUACCUGACUAAGAAGCACCGGCUAAAUACGUGCCAGCAGUCGCGGUAAUCUGAGCGGGCUGGCAAGGC